UCGAAGUGCGCAGAUGUUUCACAUUGUUCUGUUCCCUUUAUUGCCACCCCCCUGAUGUCAUUUACACUUUGCAUGCUGUCGCGGCUUUGGUGUAAACAAAAGGAACGAAUAACGCAUACGGAAAGAAAUUACCCAGAGCAUUUCAGUAUUUCCUAUACUGGACUGCAACCAGAGCCUUGAAGUCAUAUCGCAGUUUCAAGACUGACGCCUUAUUUUGGGCAACUUCGUCACCGAAUUUCAACCCUGUUUCAAAAGUGCAAACGUUUUGAAAACAUAUCAGCAUCAUCGACUGAAACUACACCUGGAUUUUUCCCGUCAAUCAAAUGAUGAUUCUGUGACUGCAACUAUCUUGUUCGCUGGUUGCACCCCCCCCCCCAUUCUGGAAAUAUUGUAGUAAUUCUCCUGCUGAGAACCGUAUAAAUACUGGGCGUCUCGACAGUGGUACCAUCAGUGUUUAGAACACCACGAGCAGGUCUUCACAUGAAGAUGCGCUUUCUGUGUCUCCUGCUUCUCGCUGCCUUCUUUUGCGGUGCUGUCUCUCUGACGCUGCCUCCACCUCCACAAGAAAAUACCACAGAGAAGGACGAUGAACUCGCCACUGUGUCGGCUGUAGCGUCUCAUCAAGAACCCACUCCCCAGGCAUUGUCCGAAGCCGACGAUGUGUCACGGGAACUGGAUGAGCUGAUGUCUCUGAUGUCAGAGGACGAAGAGGCGACCUACAGGUUCUUCAGAGGCAUUGGAAGAGCACUCAGGAGGCGAAAGCCCAGGAGAGGAAAGGGAGGCUGUGGUCGCCGUGGCUAAAGUAGCGGCUAGAAAGUCCAGGAAGACAAUGUGUAUCGGAAAACCAGAAGUGCGGUGAUUAUCCAGUUGAUCAUGGGGAUUUCCAAUUCCAAACCUUCUGGGGGAACGAAUGAACUGCAGAAGAUGUAAUAUGAUUGAAUAAAUGUAUCUUCAAAUAU